rnacentral:rRNA from 1 species
UACGUAGGGUGCAAGCGUUAAUCGGAAUUACUGGGCGUAAAGCGUGCGCAGGCGGGUGUGCAAGACCGAUGUGAAAUCCCCGGGCUCAACCUGGGAAUGGCAUUGGUGACUGUACGGCUAGAGUGUGUCAGAGGGGGGUAGAAUUCCACGUGUAGCAGUGAAAUGCGUAGAGAUGUGGAGGGAUACCGAUGGCGAAGGCAGCCCCCUGGGAUAACACUGACGCUCAUGCACGAAAGCGUGGGGAGCAAACAGG